UACGGGGGGGGCAAGCGUUGUUCGGAAUUACUGGGCGUAAAGGGCUCGUAGGCGGCCAACUAAGUCAGACGUGAAAUCUCUCGGCUUAACCGGGGAACUGCGUCUGAUACUGGAUGGCUUGAGUUCGGGAGAGGGAUGUGGAAUUCCAGGUGUAGCGGUGAAAUGCGUAGAUAUCUGGAGGAACACCGGUGGCGAAGGCGGCAUCCUGGACCGACACUGACGCUGAUGAGCGAAAGCCAGGGGAGCAAACGGG
rnacentral:rRNA from 1 species